ensembl:lncRNA
AUGUCAAUAAUAAACAGAUUGACAUUGUUUCACACACGGUGGAAGGAAAUUGACUAUACACGUCACACUAUAACGGCCAAUGGUAAGUACUUGGCUUUCUGCCGUGUUUGUGUGCGGUUUGGGGGAAUUUGUAAGCACCAACUUGAGAACCCCCGAGGGCUGACACACAGCUGGACUGGGGGAAGAAGGGGACACCACUGCCUGGAGGUCAGAGGGCAAUGGGGUAACAACCAACAAUCCUAAUCUUAACUCUAAUCUUAACCCUAACUCUUAACUAAACCUAAACCUCAAACCAAACAACAAUUGUUUUCACCAGACACAGAAUGUGCAUCUAUAACAACACACAUUUCUUUUGUGGGUAUUUUACCUACUUUUUCUCCCCAGUUUCGAUCUUGUCUCAUCGCUGCAACUCCCCAACAAGGUUGGGAAGUGAAGGUCGAUUCAUGCGUCCUCCUAAACAUGACCCGCCAAACCGCACUUAACACCCGCCCACUUAACCCGGAAGCCAGUGUGUCAGAGGAAACACUGUUCACCUGACGAUCGAGGUCAGCCUGCAGGUGCCCGGCCCGCCACAAGGAGUCGAUAGAGCGCGGUGAGCCAAGUAAAGCCCCCUCGGCCAAACCCUCCCCUAACCCUGAGGACGCUGGGCCAAUUAUGCGCCGCCCUAUGGGACUCCGGAUCACGGCCGGUUGUGAUAAGCGAUGCAGUGCCUUAGACUGCUGCACCACUCGGGAGGCCCCAAAAUGGUUUUGACUUAUAUGGCUUCCUCUUAAGCGUUAGGAGCACGUUAUUAAACAAAAUGCUAUAUUUUUUGCAGCGGUUGUGGGGUCAAUACACUUUAAAUUCAAUGCCACUCCAACUUUCUCUCAUUGAUGUCAAAAUCUGGAGUUAAGAGAUCUCCAGUUAGGAUUCAGCCUUUCUUGUGGUGGAGUUGAAGAGGAAUUUACCCAGACCUGGGUGGGCAAUAUCUAAUAAUAACAUUUCAUCUUAACAUAUUUUUUGUCAUGUGUGACAACUGCAUACGUGUGAUUUCGAUAUUUACACUGUACUGUGAUUAUUUUGUAUUUUUUCUGUACAAUUACUUUCAAUAUGGAACUUAAUUUCCCAAACACAAUGUCGAGAGCGUAACAACACAUGCACACACAAACGCACACACAUAUACAGUACACACACACACAAAUACAUACAUAGAUUUUGAGUGUCUUUAGGCCACCAUCAUGAAUAUAGUUUUAAAUAAUUGUUGUUUCCCAUUCAUCGUCCCUACCAGUUGAUCCCAUAGUUUGUUUUGAAUGAGCUGCUUUGUGCAGCAGUUGUAACAUCAUAGGGUAGAUGGAUACAAUGAAGUGCUUAACUGCCACACUGAUAUCUGGUUACCUGUAGCAGAAUGCUCUGGGGUCUAGUAAGGGUCUAGAGUUUCAUUCUCACUCUACAUGCCUGUAUUUACUUUCAGCAACACUACAAUAUCUAGGCAUAACAUGCAGCUAAAAUGCAAGAUCAAAUUAAUGAAAUUUAACACCUUUUUUUAAGGGUUCAAUCAGAACGUCAUCAUAACUUUGUUUACCAGUACGUAAGUACAUCAUACUAUAGUUGUAAACACUAAAUAAUGUACAGUAGGCUACUCCACGGGAAUACAGCUGGAUGCAGGUGGGCAAGAACCAAAGCGCAUCCAUUUUACAAGAGAACUACUUCCUUACAACACCACGUCACAGGAUCAAUAGGGCUGGUAUGUACAUAAAUGACAUCACAAUAAAAAAGAGAGAAAGGUUCAUAUUGACAGAGACUUGAUGUAUUGAAGGAGUCUUGCCAACUCCUAUGGCCAUUGACAUGACAUAAACAGAUCUGGGGCCAGACUGACAGACUGUCUGAACGUACAUAACCUCAGAGAGGGGGAAUCCGUCUGCAGGGGGAAGAACUGGAGGCCCGUGAGGACCUCAAUAGGGAGGUAGGUGCUGUUGGUGCCAAUUUUUUUUAUUUUUGACUGCAACACCAGAUUCUUCUCAGGGGUCAGGACCCUGCCCAACAGCAC